UCAUAUUGUAAAAGUAUUAUUCGGAUUGUUGUAGUGAAUCCCACUAGCGUUGGGGCAUAAAUGGUUAACCUGCUUAUCAUGUGUGAUGCGGGUCAUUGUUAAUCAUUCAGUGACUCACCGGGUAGCGACCGGCACUGCAACUCUACUUACAGGUAGAUUGAAGAUGACCUCUUCUCUUUAAUC
rnacentral:sRNA from 1 species